GCACUUUUAAACUUGUCGACGUUCCCUCUUCUUGCUUUUUUAAUUUAGGUUAGGUUGUUCAAUUUGAAUUUUGAAUUAACAAUUUUUGGGUCGAAUAUAGCAAAAACAAUGAACACAAAGGAGAAUUUGAAAUGGCAAAACCUAUACGACGCACUGCUCAAGAAGUGUUUGAAAGACAAUAAGGAUGAUGACACAGAAUAAAUACCCUUUUAAUAGUCUUCCCGAAGAUGUGCGUCCCCUCAAACAAUAUUCCAAUCGCGUAAAAACUUCAACUCUUUCAUCGGAACAGAAAGUACUUGUUGAGAAAUUUGAAGACACAUUGAAAAGUUGUCUUCAUGAAAUGUCUAUAAGGCGAGAAAAAGCAAAAAUUCUGUGUCUUGAGGAUUUCAAGAGGCUUGAUUUAGCAUUUAAGGUUGAACUAAGAAGACUGUAUUACGAAGUAGGGUCAGCGGAAAUUGAGGAAUACAUAAUAAACCUUUGUGUUAUUCCUGAUCAAGAAAUUAUAGAUUUCAAAAUAAAAUACAAAGUAAUCUCAAAGAAUGUCUUUUACGUCAAGCGGGAUUAAAGGAGAAUACAUUUAAAUUCAGAAGGUGGCUGAUCAAAACUUUGUUAUAACGAACUUCUUUAAAAAUGAAGGCGAUUUUUAUUUAUUUAUUUAUUUGGAACAAUUUGAUUUGCUUUUUUGUUAACUAGUAAUAAUUACGAAUAAAACCGUUUAUACAUA